GAUGAACGCUGGCGGCGUGCCUAAUACAUGCAAGUCGAGCGAACGGACGAGAAGCUUGCUUCUCUGAUGUUAGCGGCGGACGGGUGAGUAACACGUGGAUAACCUACCUAUAAGACUGGGAUAACUUCGGGAAACCGGAGCUAAUACCGGAUAAUAUUUUGAACCGCAUGGUUCAAAAGUGAAAGACGGUCUUGCUGUCACUUAUAGAUGGAUCCGCGCUGCAUUAGCUAGUUGGUAAGGUAACGGCUUACCAAGGCAACGAUGCAUAGCCGACCUGAGAGGGUGAUCGGCCACACUGGAACUGAGACACGGUCCAGACUCCUACGGGAGGCAGCAGUAGGGAACCUUCCGCAAUGGGCGAAAGCCUGACGGAGCAACGCCGCGUGAGUGAUGAAGGUCUUCGGAUCGUAAAACUCUAUUAUUAGGGAAGAACAUAUGUGUAAGUAACUGUGCACAUCUUGACGGUACCUAAUCAGAAAGCCACGGCUAACUACGUG
rnacentral:rRNA from 1 species